ensembl:lncRNA novel transcript, antisense to U2AF2A
AAAGUAAAAUACAACAAAAUGUUUAAUGAGCAAAUUCGUCUUAGCAAAUAUGAAACUGCCACAGAGAGGAGGAGGGGGGGAAGGAACAGUGGAAUAUGGGUGGGGGUGUAGAAGUCAAUAGUAAGAACAGAAGCAAGAGAGAAAAUGGGGAGGAAGCAGUAGCAAGAGACGGCCAAGGGCAGGCGAUGGACAGGCGUUGGGGGACAGCCACAGGGGCCCCAAAAAAUCAGGGGAAAGGAGAAGAUUGUUCAAGAAAAGGCAGAGGGCAUGAUGACAACACAAAAUGAAGAAAAACACGAAACACAAGAGAUGAAGAGACAGAGCACACAGGAAGGGCCACCCAGUGGAGACAGACAGAAAAGUGGCAGGAAAGUAGAAAGGAAGUGGCAGGCAGGGGCAGAGACGAGCAAAGGACAGAAAGGGAGAGCAGGACAGAGACGAGCGAGGAGGAGGAAGUCAAGAGUGCAGGGGCAGGAGAGGAGGAGUGUAGGGAGGAGGGGCAGGGACGGGAGGGGAGGAGAAAAGAGUGAUGUGGAGGAAUCUGGCCCU